AAGUCGUAACAAGGUUUCCGUAGGUGAACCUGCGGAAGGAUCAUUACAGAAUUGAAAUCGACCGACCCUGUUGAAGCGUGGGCUGGUCUCGAGCGAGUGAGCGAGCGAGUGAGUGAGUGAGCGAGUGAGCUUGCUAGCUAGCUUGUUUGCUAGCUUGCUUGUUUGCUUGCUUGCUCGAGACAAGCAAAAACAAAACAAUUGAUGAAUGUACCAGUGAAUAUGAAAAAAAGAAAAACAACUUUUAACAAUGGAUCUCUUGGCUCUU
rnacentral:misc_RNA from 1 species